rnacentral:rRNA from 1 species
UUAGAGUUUGAUCCUGGCUCAGGACGAACUCUGGCGGCGUGCCUAACACAUGCAAGUCGAACGAAGCAUUUAAGUGAAUCCCUUCGGGGUGAAGCUUUUAUGACUUAGUGGCGGACGGGUGAGUAACGCGUGAGUAACCUGCCUUUCAGAGGGGGAUAACAGUUGGAAACGACUGCUAAUACCGCAUAACGUAUAUUUAAGGCAUCUUAGAUAUACCAAAGCUGAGGCGCUGAAAGAUGGACUCGCGUCUGAUUAGAUAGUUGGUGAGGUAACGGCUCACCAAGUCGACGAUCAGUAGCCGGACUGAGAGGUUGAACGGCCACAUUGGGACUGAGACACGGCCCAGACUCCUACGGGAGGCAGCAGUGGGGAAUAUUGCACAAUGGGCGAAAGCCUGAUGCAGCAACGCCGCGUGAGGGAAGACGGUUUUCGGAUUGUAAACCUCUGUCUUUGGUGAAGAUAAUGACGGUAGCCAAGGAGGAAGCCACGGCUAACUACGUGCCAGCAGCCGCGGUAAUACGUAGGUGGCAAGCGUUGUCCGGAAUUACUGGGUGUAAAGGGAGCGCAGGCGGGACUGCAAGUUGGAUGUGAAAUACCGAGGCUUAACCUCGGAGCUGCAUCCAAAACUGUAGUUCUUGAGUGGAGUAGAGGUAGGCGGAAUUCCGAGUGUAGCGGUGAAAUGCGUAGAUAUUCGGAGGAACACCAGUGGCGAAGGCGGCCUACUGGGCUUUUACUGACGCUGAGGCUCGAAAGUGUGGGGAGCAAACACGAUUAGAUACCCUGGUAGUCUCACUACCGUAAACGCAUGAUUGCUAGGUGUGGGGGGUCUGACCCCUUCCGUGCCGGAGUUAACGCAAUAAGCAAUCCACCUGGGGAGUACGGCCGCAAGGUUGAAACUCAAAGGAAUUGACGGGGGCCCGCACAAGCAGUGGAUUAUGUGGUUUAAUUUGAAGCAACGCGAAGAACCUUUCCAGGUCUUGACAUCCGACUAACGAAGUAGAGAUACAUCAGGUGCCCUUCGGGGAAAGUCGAGACAGGUGGUGCAUGGUUGUCGUCAGCUCGUGUCGUGAGAUGUUGGGUUAAGUCCCGCAACGAGCGCUACCCCUGCCAUUAGUUGCUAUGCAAGAGCACUCUAAUGGGACCGCUACCGACAAGGUGGAGGAAGGUGGGGACGACGUCAAAUCAUCAUGCCCCUUAUGACCUGGGCUACACACGUAAUACAAUGGCCGUUAACAACGGGAAGCGAACCCGCGAGGGGGAGCAAAUCCUUAAAACCGGUCCCAGUUCGGAUCGCAGGCUGCAACUCGCCUGCGUGAAGUUGGAAUUGCUAGUAAUCGCGGAUCAGCAUGCCGCGGUGAAUACGUUCCCGGGCCUUGCACUCACCGCCCGUCA